AUCAAUUGCAUAUUUCCCAAGCCUAAAGCCAGCACAAUUCAAUAUGAUUUCAGUUCCUUCUUCAGCCCUUUCCAUUUUCCUGCCCAGCAGUUCCCACAUAGUCAGGAACAUGGGCCUGAGUCACCAUUUCCUUGAGUACAUUGAGACAGGACCUACCCAGCUGCUUUGCAGUGGCAAAAGCCCUCUAAAUAAAGUAGGCAACAACAGUUAAUGCAGCUCCAGCUGCAUUAUGUUAAAGUAUGUUAAAGCACUCCUGAGGGCAAACAGUCCUUGAAAGGCAGGGAAAGGAUAAGCAAACUCAGCGAAGUUAAAGGAUUCAGAGAAGACCAAAUCAAGAAGAAAAACCUCUGGUGUUUAGAUGCUACAGUAUAAUUGCAGUUUCAAGGUGGAGUGUCCAGAACAGGGGAGACUACACAGGAAAGCUUGGAGAGAAAAGAAAGCAGGGGAAAGAAAGAGGGUCUGCUGGGUGUACAGCUGCACCAGCACAAGGCAGACAGACCUUGCGUGAAGUAUCCUGACGCGGCCACCUGUGUGCUUUGACAUUGCUCCAGUGCCAGCCACACUGAUGAGUGUUUAUGCUUGUGAAUUCCUGAAGCACAGCCAGUACCUUGAACUCUAGAGAAUGAGACUGAAAUAACGUAAAAGGUCAGGGAAGUUCAAAGACAGAGGUGCUGUUUUCCUAGCUGGGGACACCACACUGUUCCCAGACCACGCUGGGCUGCUCUGGGAACACAAGAACAAAGACUUCUCUCUUAUGUCCUCCUGUUUACGCUGCUUUUUGCCUCCCUCACCUCACUGUUUUAAAAGGACUCAUUUCCAUGAAGCUUCAAUUAAAACCACCAGGAUCAACUUGGCCUAAGCCUGACAACUGAGGAGACACUUGAUAGCUACCAGCACCUAAAAGUCACUUUGGUGACUCCUGUCACCAAAGGAAAGGGGAAGUUUUUAUCCCACUACCCAAAUCCUGCUGGCUCACACAGCAGGAGCAUGCCCCAGAGUGCUGCUUUGUCCACAAGCAGGUAUCAGCGACUGAGGCACCUGGAAAUCUGCAAGAGUUUCACUCACAGAAAGGCAAGUCAGAGGGUGACUUUUGGAGAAUCUGGAGAGGUUUCAUGUACCCGUGCUGGUUAGCAAGCCUGAGAUUCAGAAACACGAUGAGCCCACGCCUGAGCUGGCUGGGCACAGGCUGGGUAUGUGCAGCUCUCCUGUGCCUGCAAGCAGAGAGCCCUGGCACACGGGGCACUGCCCACGCUCCACUGCCAGCCGUGCCCCUGCACAGCGGGGCUUCCCUGCCACCUGCACAGCACCGUGCCACCUGCUCACUGUCACCGCACCCGCCCCAGUGCCCUCCUCCACGGGCAAAGGGAGGCUAGGGAUGGGCACUGGCGUUCACUACCUUCUGGCCUCAUCUCUCUGCUUUGCCUUAAACUGAGCCUGAGGACUGAGAGGCACCAACAGCACAGCCAAUAUGGAAGUCAUUUCACAGACGCACAUCCAGCCCACUUACAGCAAUUGUAACCUCGUCUACAAAGGAGCCGCCUGGGGGGCAACCAGCCAGCCUGCUGAUAUUAAAC